rnacentral:tRNA from 1 species
GGCUCGUUGGUCUAGCGAUAUGAUUCUCGCUUUGGGUGCGAGAGGUCCCGGGUUCAAAUCCCGGACGAGCCC